UGCAGCCAUGCCGCGUGUGUGAAGAAGGCCUUCGGGUUGUAAAGCACUUUCAGUAGGGAGGAAAGGGUGAGUCUUAAUACGGCUCAUCUGUGACGUUACCUACAGAAGAAGGACCGGCUAACUCCGUGCCAGCAGCCGCGGUAAUACGGAGGGUCCGAGCGUUAAUCGGAAUUACUGGGCGUAAAGCGUGCGCAGGCGGUUUGUUAAGCGAGAUGUGAAAGCCCUGGGCUCAACCUAGGAAUAGCAUUUCGAACUGGCGAACUAGAGUCUUGUAGAGGGGGGUAGAAUUCCAGGUGUAGCGGUGAAAUGCGUANAGAUCUGGAGGAAUACCGGUGGCGAAGGCGGCCCCC
rnacentral:rRNA from 1 species